AGUGAACGAUGGAGGUAGGCCUAAUACAUGCAAGUCGAACGGAAACACAAUAAGAGCUCGCUCUUAAGGGUGGCGAGUGGCGGGCGGGUGAGGAAUAAAUCGGAAUCUAAUUUUUCGUGGGGGGUAAGGUAGGGAAACUUAAGCAAAUAUAGCAUCAGACCUACGGGUGAAUGCAGGGGGACUUCGGACAUUGCGCGUAUGAAUGAGCCGAUGUAGGAUUAGCUAGUUGGUGGGGUAGAGGCCCACCAAGGCGCCGAUCCGUAGGUGGUCUGAGAGGAUGAUCAGCCACACUGGAACUGAGACACGGUCAGGACUCCUACGGGAGGCAGCAGUGGGGAAUAUUGGACAAUGGGCGCAAGCCUGAUCCGGCCAUACCGCGUGGUUGAGGAAGGCCUUCGGGUUGUAAAGCCCUUUUGUUGGGAAAGAAAAGCGGCAGAUUAAUACCCCGCUGUUCUGACGGUACCCAACGAGAAAGCACCGGCUAACUUCGUG
rnacentral:rRNA from 1 species